CCAGGACAUCGUGAAAUUGACAUAGUAAUAGCUGGCUUCCUUUCCAAAUUCUGAUUUCUGAGAGAAAAUUUCAAUUUAAGGUGAUGACUGGACAAAAUCAUUGGUGAUAUAUCAGUCAUUGAGCAGAGAAGCAGAGAGGUGAUAUGAAGCAGCCAGGCAGGCAGUGGAGCAGACAACACUAAAGAGAAAAAGAAACAGACCUGAAGGUGGGGA